AAACCAACUGGGAUUACCUUAGUAACGGCGAGUGAAGCGGUAAAAGCUCAAAUUUGAAAUCUGGUACUUUCAGUGCCCGAGUUGUAAUUUGUAGAAUUUGUCUUUGAUUAGGUCCUUGUCUAUGUUCCUUGGAACAGGACGUCAUAGAGGGUGAGAAUCCCGUUUGGCGAGGAUACCUUUUUUCUGUAAGACUUUUUCGAAGAGUCGAGUUGUUUGGGAAUGCAGCUCAAAGUGGGUGGUAAAUUCCAUCUAAAGCUAAAUAUUGGCGAGAGACCGAUAGCGAACAAGUACAGUGAUGGAAAGAUGAAAAGAACUUUGAAAAGAGAGUGAAAAAGUACGUGAAAUUGUUGAAAGGGAAGGGCAUUUGAUCAGACAUGGUGUUUUUGCAUGCACUCGCCUCUCGUGGGCUUGGGCCUCUCAAAAAUUUCACUGGGCCAACAUCAAUUCUGGCAGUAGGAUAAAUCAUUAAGAAUGUAGCUACCUCGGUAGUGUUAUAGCUUAUUGGAAUACUG
rnacentral:rRNA from 1 species